rnacentral:rRNA from 1 species
UGGGGAAUAUUGCACAAUGGAGGGAACUCUGAUGCAGCGACGCCGCGUGAACGAAGAAGGCUUUCGAGUCGUAAAGUUCUUUUAUAUGGGAAGAUAAUGACGGUACCAUAAGAAAAAGCCCCGGCUAACUACGUGCCAGCAGCCGCGGUAAUACGUAGGGGGCUAGCGUUGUCCGGAAUCACUGGGCGUAAAGGGUUCGCAGGCGGAAAUGCAAGUCAGGUGUAAAAGGCAGUAGCUUAACUACUGUAAGCAUUUGAAACUGCAUAUCUUGAGAAGAGUAGAGGUAAGUGGAAUUUUUAGAGUAGCGGUGAAAUGCGUAGAUAUUAAAAAGAAUACCGGUGGCGAAGGCGACUUACUGGGCUCAUUCUGACGCUGAGGAACGAAAGCGUGGGUAGCAAACAGG